AGGGGCUUAGCUCAGUUGGUAGAGCAUCGGUCUCCAAAACCGAGGGUCGUGAGUUCGAGUCUCUCAGCCCCUGCCA
rnacentral:tRNA from 2 species